rnacentral:rRNA from 1 species
GUGGGGAAUCUUCCGCAAUGGACGCAAGUCUGACGGAGCAACGCCGCGUGAGUGACGAAGGUUUUCGGAUCGUAAAACUCUGUUGUGAGGGAAGAACACGUACCAACUAACUAUUGGUACCUUGACGGUACCUCACCAGAAAGCCACGGCUAACUACGUGCCAGCAGCCGCGGUAAUACGUAGGUGGCAAGCGUUGUCCGGAAUUAUUGGGCGUAAAGCGCGCGCAGGCGGUUCCUUAAGUCUGAUGUGAAAGCCCACGGCUCAACCGUGGAGGGUCAUUGGAAACUGGGGAACUUGAGUGCAGAAGAGGAAAGUGGAAUUCCACGUGUAGCGGUGAAAUGCGUAGAGAUGUGGAGGAACACCAGUGGCGAAGGCGACUUUCUGGUCUGUAACUGACGCUGAGGCGCGAAAGCGUGGGGAGCAAACAGGAUUAGAAACCCCUGUAGUCC